UACGUAGGGAGCAAGAGUUGUUCGGAUUUACUGGGCGUAAAGGGCGCGUAGGCGGCGCGGUAAGUCACUUGUGAAAUCUCUGAGCUUAACUCAGAACGGCCAAGUGAUACUGCAGUGCUAGAGUGCAGAAAGGGCAAUCGGAAUUCUUGGUGUAGCGGUGAAAUGCGUAGAUAUCAAGAGGAACACCUGAGGCGAAGGCGGGUUGCUAGGCUGACACUGACGCUGAGUGCGCGAAAGCCAGGGGAGCAAACGGG
rnacentral:rRNA from 1 species